UACGUAGGUGACAAGCGUUGUCCGGAUUUACUGGGCGUAAAGAGCGUGUAGGCGGCCACGCAGGUCCGUUGUGAAAACUGGAGGCUCAACCUUCAGACGUCGACGGAAACCGUAUGGCUAGAGUCCGGAAGAGGAGAGUGGAAUUCCUGGUGUAGCGGUGAAAUGCGCAGAUAUCAGGAAGAACACCAAUGGCGAAGGCAGCUCUCUGGGACGGUACUGACGCUGAGACGCGAAAGCGUGGGGAGCGAACAGG
rnacentral:rRNA from 1 species